ensembl:lncRNA
UAUAUAUAUAUAUAUAUAGCUGGAGCACAACAAAAUGUUACAUUGUCUGACAAUGAAAGGACAAGGAAUUGGACAGGGUCAACAGCCAGAGAGAAGAAGAAGAGGAAGAGGAGUGAGGCUGCCUGAGAAUUUGUGGCCCAACAGAUAGGAACGUCAGGAGUUGUAGGAAGACUGCACUGUAAUUCCUACAGCAAUGCAUGUACAGUUUACCCUAAGGAGAUUGUCCUAUGUUCACAUUUCUAACAAUGACAUGGUCUGUCAACAAAUUACAGUACAAACAGUCAAAGCGUAAAUGUGAAUCUUGUCCAGUGUCUUGCAAUCAAUCUCCCACAUACACUAAGGUGUAACUUACAAUGUACAAUAAUUGUCUUCAAAACUUUAGCCAUAGUUUACAUCAGAACAUCCCUCCAGAGUACACUGUUAUAUCACAUGACUAAGCAAUUUGACUGUCUUAUCCGUACAUAAUGACACAAGGACUUGUCAUUGUGAUGGCACUGACAUGUUCAUUGACAAAGAUAUUUACUUUUUAGAAACAAACUAAGGAUUUUGAGCAAGAGACUGGCUUUUGCUUGAAAUCCAUGGUGUUUUGCUAUUUGUACGAAUUAUUUUGAGAAAUGCACUUACUGUUUUGCAAAUUUCAAUUCUGAUCUGAGAUGUACCAAAGCGACUGAGAAAAACAGUAAUAUUACCUGGCUCACUUACGGUCAUCUUAAAGCUAUAAUCUGUCCCUCUGUCUCUCUAUGUCUCUGUCUGUGUGGCAGUUAACCCUUGAGUAUUGCUUGAGUCGGGUGGGCCGCAUGCAUUCCGAACACUCAUCCAAUAGGAAGAGGGAGGGACGGCGGGCGACUGGGAGUACCAGCGCCUGGGAGAGUGCCAUUCAGCGUGGCCGCUGGAGGGACAAACGAACGUCAUCAGCGGUGUUGAUCGGCAGCGAGGACAAAGAUCUCAUCGAGCUCAUCAAUGAUCAGUCGGACAUGGAGCUGGCAGCCGCCACAGAAAUGCCUUUAGUUGAUGCGGCGGUGUUGGUGAAAGGUGGCGACGAGGAGACAGAGUCCACAACCAAAGGUCUAAACUCUGGGCAUGACUCUUCUAACUGCUCAAUGGACGGCCUGUGCUCGGGCCCCUCCUCUCCGAAAGAGGACCCCGAUGUGGGGCGAAGCUACGCCCAGGGCCUGUGUCUCUGCUGCCAGACGCUGUUGAAGAGGGCAACACACAGCUGGCCUUUAAAGGCCAAGCUGCUGGAAACUGACCCAAAAUCCUUAUCCUGUGACCAGUGGGUGUUGAAGAAGAGGUGGAAAUCGAGUGGGCGGCCGGUUCUCAAGAGUAAGCUUCAGGGUUGCUUGAAGCGGAUUCAGAGAAGACGGAGCGAUGUUUACAACGUCAUGCAAGGCCAGCCGGCCUGCUCCAGAGCACACACUUUUCUACAGAGGAACCUGAGACGCUGCACCAAGGCGUCGGCCAGGAGGGGGAGGAAGAGGAAGCGCACGAGUAGAAGGAUGGAGGAGACGACGACGACGAUGGGGAAGAGGGCCAGGUGCGACCCCCACCAAAAAGAGCCUAGCCCCACCGCUCCCCACGGUCAGAGUGUCGACAACCCGUCGCCUCUCGAUAGUCUGAGCGAGGAGGAGGAUGCUGAGGCGCAGGACUCCGCCCACAGCUCCCUGGAGGUGGUCCCCUCCCUGGUCGCCAUAGAUUUCACGGUCGACCAGAAAGCGGGAGCCAGUAAGGGUGGUCCAGCAAAGAGGGGCGGCUUCAAGGACCUGUUGAUUCAGUUGCGGGGUAACAGCAGCAAGAUAGUGAGAGAAACAGAUCACCAUUGACCACCAUGGAAUGGUGUUCUGAUGGACGUGUUUGUGCGGAACAGUGUUUUCACUGAACGCACCGUUACCUUGGUGUUCUGAUGGACGUGUUCGUGCGGAACAGUGUUUUCACUGAACGCACCGUUACCUUGGUGUUCUGAUGGACGUGUUUGUGCGGAACAGUGUUUUCACUGAACGCACCGUUACCUUGGUGUUCUGAUGGACGUGUUCAUGCGGAAUAGUGUUUUUCACUGAAUGCAUAACUGUUCGUGCAGACAUAACUGUUCGUAACAAGGACGUUGUUAUGGACAAAACCGUCAACUGGGUGAUCGGAAGAAGUGUUUGAGUGGAAUAGCAUUGUACAUUACCCCACUGUUACCAUGGAGAUCUGAUGGAAAUGUUUGUGCUGAAUGGACUUGUAAUUGACUGCACUGUUACUAUGGUGAUCUGAUGGAAGUAUUAAUAUAGAAAACCGUUGUAAGCAUUAUGCGUUUCUGUGUUCUAAUUCGACUCAGAUCUCAGAUAUAUUUUCGGGCACAUCAAUUACAUACAUUUCCCUAAUUUGAUUUUUCUUUUUACAAGAUUUACCAGAAGAAAAACGUUUUAUUUUCAAGAAAUAUAGCAAUUAAUAUUAGGCAACUUGACAUCGCAUCAAAAAUGCAAAGCAAAGGUAUAACAUGUUGAACCAGAAAAUGGCAUAUUUGUCUGUUUACUUGUGGCGUCCUCUUGACCGUUUGCUGUCAUCCGAACGACCACACGGUGGCGCCACAUGGCAGAAAUCCAAUAGGAGAACCUUCAGGGUCGUUCAGAUCACAGUCACUGCAUUGACUGUUCCGACCCGUUGCUGCCAUACGUCAACGUUGACGCCAAAUUUGAUAUGCAAAGACGCCGGUAAACGAAUUGAAGAAAACGGUUGAGCUGCUGGAGUCCUGAUGGAUUAAAAGCACAAACGUUUCCAACGAAAUUCAAUGAUUCGUUUUUAUAUACAUAUUUAAUAAUUUAUUUAUAUAAAACAUAAAGGUGAAAAAUAAGAGGUGGGUUACUCCUCAUAUAUUCAUAUAAAAUGGGUAUUGUAUAUAUUUUAAUUUUUUUUCCAUCAUAACCCCAUGAAUAAAAACGACUCAAUCCUUUGGGAAAUGUAAACGUUGUAGUGCUUUCUAUCAAUAAAAACCGAAGCUCCCCUGUUUAAUUGUAUUACUUGCCUCUCCAAUAUUGCGGCUUAAGUUGACGUAUCGCAUCAAUGCGACUAUGUAUAUAUGGCUAUGGUUCAGACUCUCCACUCCUGUUCCUCUCAGAGCGUUCUUGUUAGUUCACGCCAUUCUUAUCUCUGCUGCUCUACUGGGACCAUGAGUGUUUUGUCAUUCGAUAGGUG